GCAAAGUCGANGCGGGAUCUUUUGGGAGCUUGCUCCCAAAGAUUAGCGGCGGACGGGUGAGUAACACGUGGGCAACCUGCCUAUGAGACUGGGAUAACUCCGGGAAACCGGGGCUAAUACCGGAUAAUUCUUUUCUACUCAUGUAGAAAAGUUGAAAGAUGNUUUCCGCUAUCNCUCAUAGAUGGNCCCCCGNCNCAGUAGGUNUUUGGUGAGNUAACUGGUCACCCNGGUA
rnacentral:rRNA from 1 species